rnacentral:rRNA from 1 species
CCUACGGGUUGCACCAGUGGGGAAUAUUGGACAAUGGGCGAAAGCCUGAUCCAGCAAUGCCGCGUGUGUGAAGAAGGUCUUCGGAUUGUAAAGCACUUUCGACGGGGACGAUGAUGACGGUACCCGUAGAAGAAGCCCCGGCUAACUUCGUGCCAGCAGCCGCGGUAAUACGAAGGGGGCUAGCGUUGCUCGGAAUGACUGGGCGUAAAGGGCGCGUAGGCGGUUUAUGCAGUCAGAUGUGAAAUCCCCGGGCUUAACCUGGGAACUGCAUUUGAGACGCAUAGACUAGAGGUCGAGAGAGGGUUGUGGAAUUCCCAGUGUAGAGGUGAAAUUCGUAGAUAUUGGGAAGAACACCGGUGGCGAAGGCGGCAACCUGGCUCGAUACUGACGCUGAGGCGCGAAAGCGUGGGGAGCAAACAGGAUUAGAUACC